CGAUCCUGAGAGGGGUGAUCGGCCCACACUGGGACUGAGACACGGUACCAGACUCCUACGGGAGGCAGCAGUAGGGAAUAAUUCCGCAAUGGACGAAAGUCCGACGGAGCAACGCCGCGUGAGUGAUGAAGGUUUUCGGAUCGUAAAACUGUGUUGUUAGUCGAAGAACAAGUACCGUUCGAAUAGGACGGUUCCUUGACGGUACCUAACCAGAAAGCCACGGCUAACUACGUGCCAGCAGCCGCGGUAAUACGUAGGUGCCAAGCGUUGUCCGGGAAUUAUUGGGCGUAAAGCGCGCGCAAGCGGUUUCUUAAGUCUGAUGUGAAAGCCCCCGCCUCAACCGGGGAGGGUCAUUGGAACCUGGGGAACUUGAGUGCAGAAGAGGAGAGUGGAAUUCCACGUGUAGCGGUGAAAUGCGUAGAGAUGUGGAGGAACACCAGUGGCGAAGGCGACUCUCUGGUCUGUAACUGACGCUGAGGCGCGAAAGCGUGGGGAGCGAACAGGAUUAGAUACCCUGGUAGUCCACGCCGUAAACGAUGAGUGCUAAGUGUUAGAGGGUUUCCGCCCUUUAGUGCUGCAGCAAACGCAUUAAGCACUCCCGCCUGGGGAGUACGGUUCGCAAGACUGAAACUCAAAGGAAUUGACGGGGGCCCGCACAAGCGGUGGAGCAUGUGGUUUAAUUCGAAGCAACGCGAAGAACCUUACCAGGUCCUUGACAUCCUGUGACAACCCUAGGAGAUAGGGCUUCCCCUUCAGGGGCAGAGUGACAGGUGGUGCAUGGUUGUCGUCAGCUCGUGUCGUGAGAUGUUGGGUUAAGUCCAGCAACGAGCGCAACCCUUGAUCUUAGUUGCCAGCAUGUCAGUUGGGCACUACUAAGGCUGACUGGCGGUGACGACCCGAGAGAAAGGUGGGGAUGACGUCAGAUCAUCUUGCCCCUUAUAACCUGGGCUAGACACGUGCAACAAUGUGGCAGAACAAAGGGCAGCGGAACCCCGGAGAGGGCUA
rnacentral:rRNA from 1 species